UACAGAGGGUGCAAGCGUUAAUCGGAAUUACUGGGCGUAAAGCGCACGCAGGCGGUUGGUUAAGUCAGAUGUGAAAGCCCCGGGCUCAACCUGGGAAUUGCAUUUGAAACUGGCCAACUAGAGUACGUGAGAGGGGGGUAGAAUUCCAAGUGUAGCGGUGAAAUGCGUAGAUAUUAGGAGGAACAUCAGUGGCGAAGGCGACUUACUGGAACAUAACUGACGCUGAGGCUCGAAAGCGUGGGGAGCAAACAGG
rnacentral:rRNA from 1 species